GCCUGCAUGAAGCCGGAAUCGCUAGUAAUCGCAGAUCAGAAUGCUGCGGUGAAUACGUUCCCGGGUCUUGUACACACCGCCCGUCACACCAUGGGAGUUUGUAACGCCCAAAGUCGGUGGCCUAACCUUUAUGGAGGGAGCCGCCUAAGGCGGGACAGAUGACUGAGGUGAAGUCGUAACAAGGUAUC
rnacentral:rRNA from 1 species